rnacentral:rRNA from 1 species
CACUGCUAGUCGUACACGGUAGCCGUAGAGUUUGAUCCUGGCUCAUGAUGGGUCCUUGCUCCUGGCUUCACGGCGGACGGGUGAGUAAUGCCUAGGAAUCUGCCUGGUAGUGGGGGAUAACGUCCGGAAACGGGCGCUAAUACCGCAUACGUCCUGAGGGAGAAAGUGGGGGAUCUUCGGACCUCACGCUAUCAGAUGAGCCUAGGUCGGAUUAGCUAGUUGGUGGGGUAAAGGCCUACCAAGGCGACGAUCCGUAACUGGUCUGAGAGGAUGAUCAGUCACACUGGAACUGAGACACGGUCCAGACUCCUACGGGAGGCAGCAGUGGGGAAUAUUGGACAAUGGGCGAAAGCCUGAUCCAGCCAUGCCGCGUGUGUGAAGAAGGUCUUCGGAUUGUAAAGCACUUUAAGUUGGGAGGAAGGGCAGUAAGUUAAUACCUUGCUGUUUUGACGUUACCAACAGAAUAAGCACCGGCUAACUUCGUGCCAGCAGCCGCGGUAAUACGAAGGGUGCAAGCGUUAAUCGGAAUUACUGGGCGUAAAGCGCGCGUAGGUGGUUCAGCAAGUUGGAUGUGAAAUCCCC